rnacentral:lncRNA from 10 species
AGUUCAAAAUCUACAGUCCAACGUCUCUAAGACCAGCUGCCUCCUGAGGCAAGAGCUGCAAGAGGGUGAUAGUUGUCAUAAGGUAAAGGUGUUUGAAGAGAGAAAAAACUACAAUGGAAUGAAAGCACAGUGGACCACGGAUGUUAGAGCUGCAACCAGAGAUGGAGAUAAGAAACUAACCUACAUCUGAUGAACGAUGUGUCAGUAAGCCACUCACUUUGUAAGUUUCUGAGUUGCAGACAUGGGUCAGAGAAGAAGGUGAUUCACCCAGGCUGGGAUAUUCAGGGAGAAUUUAUCUGAAAGACAAAUACACCAGUGGUUCAGAAUAGAAAGCCAAAAAAUAAGGCCACACACCUACAACCAUCUGGUAUUCAACAAAGCUGACAAAAACAAGCAAUGGAGAAAAGACUCCUAGUCAAUACAUGGUGCUAGGAUAACUGGUCAGCCAUAUGCAGAAGAUUGAAACUAGACUCCUUCCUUACACCAUAUACAAAAAUCAACUUAAGAUGGAUCAAAGACUUAAAUGUAAAACCCAAAAUUAUAAAAACCCUGGAAGACGACUGAGGCAAUACCAUUCCAGACAUAGAAAUGGACAAAGAUUUUAUGACAAAGACACCAAAAUCAAUUGCAAAAAUGACAAAUGGGAUCUAAUUAAACUAAAGAGCUUCUGCACAGCAAAAUAAACUAUCAAUACAGUAAACAGACAACCUACAGGAUGGGAGAAAAUCUUUGCAAACUAUGCAUCUGACAAAAAUCUAAUAAUAUCCAGCAUCUAUAAGGAACUUAAGCAAAUCUACAAGAAAAAAAACAAACAAACAACCCAAUUAAAAAGCAAGCAAAGGACAUGAACAGACACUUUUCAAAAGAAGAGGUGCAUGCAGUCAAUAAGCAUAUUUUUAAAAAGCCCAACAUCCCACUGAUCAUUAGAGAAAUUCAUAUCAAAACCGCAGUAAGGUAUCAUCUCAAACCAGUCAGAAUGGCUGUCAUUAAAAAGUCAAAAAAUAGCAGGUGUUGUAAGGUUGCAGAGGAAAAGGAAUGCUUAUACAUUGUUGACGUGAGUGUAAAUUAGUUCAACUGCUGUUGGAGACAGUGUGGCUAUUCCUAAAAGACCUAAGGACCAAAAUACCAUUCAACACAGCAAUCCGUUACUGGGUAUAUACCCAAAAUAAUAUAAAUCGUUCUCUCGUAAAGACACAUGCACACAUAUGUUUAUUGCAGCACUACUCACAAUAGCAAAAACAUGGAAUCAACCUAAAUGCUCAUCAAAGAGAGACUGGAUAAAGAAAAUGUGAUACAGGUAUACCAUAGAAUACUAUGCAGCCAUAAAAAAGAGUGAGAUCAUGUCCUUUGCAGGAACAUAAAUGGAGCUGGAGGCCAUUAUCUUUAGCAAAGUAAGACAAGAAAAGAAAACCAAACACUGCAUGUUGUCAUUUGUAAGUGGCAGGUAAAUAAUGAGAACACAUGGACACAUAGAGAGGACAACAGACACAGGGACGUACCAGAGGGUGGGGAAUAGAAGGAGUGAGAGGACCAGGGAAAAUGACUAAUGGGUACUAGGCUUAAUACCUGGGUGACAAAAUAAUCUGUACAACAAAUCCCCAUGACAUAAGUUUACCUGUAUAACAAACCCGCACAUGUACCCCUGAACUUCAAAUAAAAGUUAAAUAAAAAUGCACGGCUUUUGAGAAAACAUUAUUAGUACAGUAAAUGUGUCUGUUUAUCCUACUACAGGAAAGCCUAUAGUUGUGGCUACCCACUUUGAGAUAAGGUCUAACAGGAGGAAAAUGAGAGUACCUUCAUACUACUGGUGCAAACAUUAUUUUUUCCACUGGCAGUGGUCUGAGAACAUAGGCCUUCUAGUGCACUAAUAUUCUUCUCAUCACCACUAGCAACUC